rnacentral:rRNA from 1 species
UCGCAAGAGGAGCCUGGAGACAGGUGCUGCAUGGCUGUCGUCAGCUCGUGUCGUGAGAUGUUGGGUUAAGUCCCGCAACGAGCGCAACCCUUGUCUUAGUUGCCAUCAUUCAGUUGGGCACUCUAAAGAGACUGCCGGUGUCAAACCGGAGGAAGGUGGGGAUGACGUCAAGUCCUCAUGGCCUUUAUGACCAGGGCUACACACGUACUACAAUGGCCGGUACAAAGGGCAGCCACUUAGCGAUAAGGAGCCAAUCCCGUAAAGCCGGUCUCAGUCCGGAUUGGAGUCUGCAACUCGACUCCAUGAAGUUGGAAUCGCUAGUAAUCGCAGAUCAGCACGCUGCGGUGAAUACGUUCCCGGGCCUU